rnacentral:rRNA from 1 species
UACGUAGGGUGCGAGCGUUAAUCGGAAUUACUGGGCGUAAAGCGUGCGCAGGCGGUGAUGUAAGACCGAUGUGAAAUCCCCGGGCUUAACCUGGGAACUGCAUUUGUGACUGCAUGGCUGGAGUGCGGCAGAGGGGGAUGGAAUUCCGCGUGUAGCAGUGAAAUGCGUAGAUAUGCGGAGGAACACCGAUGGCGAAGGCAAUCCCCUGGGCCUGCACUGACGCUCAUGCACGAAAGCGUGGGAGCAAACAGG